rnacentral:misc_RNA from 2 species
CAAUUUUGGCGCACCAAGAUGCCCUCGGGCGUUGCGGUGUUGUCAAUCGAGAUACCAACCCAUGUCUUUUGAGCACCUCACGUUUCCUCGGUAGGCUCGCCUGCCAAUGGGGACCACUUUAAAACCUUUUAUGUAUGCAGUAAACGUCUACAAAUAAAUGAAAUCA